AGCCGGAGGGAAACCGAGUCUUAAUUGGGCGUUAAGUUGCAGGGUAUAGACCCGAAACCCGGUGAUCUAGCCAUGGGCAGGUUGAAGGUUGGGUAACACUAACUGGAGGACCGAACCGACUAAUGUUGAAAAAUUAGCGGAUGACCUGUGGCUGGGGGUGAAAGGCCAAUCAAACCGGGAGAUAGCUGGUUCUCCCCGAAAGCUAUUUAGGUAGCGCCUCGUGAAUUCAUCUCCGGGGGUAGAGCACUGUUUCGGCUAGGGGGCCAUCCCGGCUUACCAACCCGAUGCAAACUGCGAAUACCGGAGAAUGUUAUCACGGGAGACACACGGCGGGUGCUAACGUCCGUCGUGAAGAGGGAAACAACCCAGACCGCCAGCUAAGGUCCCAAAGUCAUGGUUAAGUGGGAAACGAUGUGGGAAGGCCCAGACAGCCAGGAUGUUGGCUUAGAAGCAGCCAUCAUUUAAAGAAAGCGUAAUAGCUCACUGGUCGAGUCGGCCUGCGCGGAAGAUGUAACGGGGCUAAACCAUGCACCGAAGCUGCGGCAGCGACACUCAGGUGUUGUUGGGUAGGGGAGCGUUCUGUAAGCCUGCGAAGGUGGCCUGUGAGGGUUGCUGGAGGUAUCAGAAGUGCGAAUGCUGACAUAAGUAACGAUAAAGCGGGUGAAAAGCCCGCUCGCCGGAAGACCAAGGGUUCCUGUCCAACGUUAAUCGGGGCAGGGUGAGUCGACCCCUAAGGCGAGGCCGAAAGGCGUAGUCGAUGGGAAACAGGUUAAUAUUCCUGUACUUGGUGUUACUGCGAAGGGGGGACGGAGAAGGCUAUGUUGGCCGGGCGACGGUUGUCCCGGUUUAAGCGUGUAGGUGUGUGUUCCAGGUAAAUCCGGUUCACUUUAACACUGAGGCGUGACGACGAGGCACUACGGUGCUGAAGCAACAAAUGCCCUGCUUCCAGGAAAAGCCUCUAAGCAUCAGGUAACAUCAAAUCGUACCCCAAACCGACACAGGUGGUCAGGUAGAGAAUACCAAGGCGCUUGAGAGAACUCGGGUGAAGGAACUAGGCAAAAUGGUGCCGUAACUUCGGGAGAAGGCACGCUGACACGUAGGUGAAGUGAUUUACUCACGGAGCUGAAGUCAGUCGAAGAUACCAGCUGGCUGCAACUGUUUAUUAAAAACACAGCACUGUGCAAACACGAAAGUGGACGUAUACGGUGUGACGCCUGCCCGGUGCCGGAAGGUUAAUUGAUGGGGUCAGCGCAAGCGAAGCUCCUGAUCGAAGCCCCGGUAAACGGCGGCCGUAACUAUAACGGUCCUAAGGUAGCGAAAUUCCUUGUCGGGUAAGUUCCGACCUGCACGAAUGGCGUAAUGAUGGCCAGGCUGUCUCCACCCGAGACUCAGUGAAAUUGAACUCGCUGUGAAGAUGCAGUGUACCCGCGGCAAGACGGAAAGACCCCGUGAACCUUUACUAUAGCUUGACACUGAACAUUGAGCCUUGAUGUGUAGGAUAGGUGGGAGGCUUUGAAGCGUGGACGCCAGUCUGC
rnacentral:rRNA from 1 species